UCAGAAAUAACGUCCCAGUUCGGAUUGUAGUCUGCAACCCGACUACAUGAAGCUGGAAUCGCUAGUAAUCGCGAAUCAGAAUGUCGCGGUGAAUACGUUCCCGGGUCUUGUACACACCGCCCGUCACACCAUGGGAGUCGGAAAUGCCCGAAGUCAGUGACCCAACCGUAAGGAGGGAGCUGCCGAAGGUGGAGCCGGUAACUGGGGUGAAGUCGUAACAAGGUAAC
rnacentral:rRNA from 1 species